UUUAUCUCUUUCCAAUUUUUAUUUAAUUAAACGCGCACCACUUAUUUAAAACCCUACUUUCUCCUUUUAUUUUGUUCUCUAUAAUUGAGGGUUUUCUGAGGAGUUUCCAUGGCAAAAAACGCGUUCAAGAUGGAGCACCCUCUCGAAAAGAGACAAGCCGAAGCUGCUCGCAUAAGAGAGAAGUAUCCAGACAGAAUACCAGUGGUUGUGGAAAGGGCUGAAAAGAGUGAUGUGCCUGAAA